UCAACCGUAAAAUUGCAGUUGAUACUGGCAGUCUUGAGUACAGUAGAGGUGGGCGGAAUUCGUGGUGUAGCGGUGAAAUGCUUAGAUAUCACGAAGAACUCCGAUUGCGAAGGCAGCUCACUGGACUGCAACUGACACUGAUGCUCGAAAGUGUGGGUAUCAAACAGGAUUAGAUACCCUGGUAGUCCACACAGUAAACGAUGAAUACUCGCUGUUUGCGAUAUACGGUAAGCGGCCAAGCGAAAGCGUUAAGUAUUCCACCUGGGGAGUACGCCGGCAACGGUGAAACUCAAAGGAAUUGACGGGGGCCCGCACAAGCGGAGGAACAUGUGGUUUAAUUCGAUGAUACGCGAGGAACCUUACCCGGGCUUAAAUUACAUUUGAAUAAUCUGGAAACAGUUUAGCCGUAAGGCAAAUGUGAAGGUGCUGCAUGGUUGUCGUCAGCUCGUGCCGUGAGGUGUCGGCUUAAGUGCCAUAACGAGCGCAACCCUUAUCUUCAGUUACUAACAGGUCAUGNUGAGGACUCUGGAGAGACUGCCGUCGUAAGAUGUGAGGAAGGUGGGGANGACGUCAAAUCAGCACGG
rnacentral:rRNA from 1 species